rnacentral:rRNA from 1 species
GCGGCGUGCCUAAUCAUGCAAGUCGCAGCGGGUAUCGACAGAUACCUUCGGCGGACAGGUGAGGAACACGUGGGGAAUCUGCCUCACGGACCGGAAUAUCGCCUGGAAACCGGUGCUCAGGCCGGAUAGGCCCAUGAGGCGCAUGCCUGAUGCUGGAAAGGAUGCUAUGGCAUCUCUGAUAGAGGACCCCGCGGCGCAUUAGCUAGUUGGUAGGGUAAUGGCCUACCGAGGCGACGAUGCGUACCCCACCUGAGAGGGUGACCGGCCACACUGAGACUGAGACACGGCCCAGACUCCUACUGGAGGCAGCUGUACGGAAUCUUCCUCCAUGGGCGCCAGCCUGACGGAGCAACGCCUCGUGAGCGAGGAACGUCUUCGGGUUGUCAAGCUCAAUCAAGGGGGAAGAGCAGCCAGGAGAUGGAAUGCUCUUUGCGAGACGGUACCCCCAGAGGAAGCCCCGGCUAACUACGUGCCAGCAGCCGCGGUAAU